rnacentral:rRNA from 1 species
AUUGAACGCUGGCGGCAGGCCUAACACAUGCAAGUCGAGCGGAGCGGCGGACGGGUGAGUAAUGCCUAGGAAUCUGCCUGGUAGUGGGGGAUAACGUCCGGAAACGGGCGCUAAUACCGCAUACUAUCAGAUGAGACUAGGUCGGAUUAGCUCGUUGGUGGGGUAAAGGCCUACCAAGGCGACGAUCCGGCACUGGUCUGAGAGGAGGAUCAGUCACACUGGAACUGAGACACGGUCCAGACUCCUACGGGAGGCAGCAGGGGGGAAUAUGGGAAAAUGGGCGAAAGCCUGAUCCAGCCAUGCCGCGUGAGGGAUGACGGCCUUCGGGUUGUAAAGCUCGUUAAUCUGGACGACGGUACCGGAAUAGAAAGCCACGGCUAACUACGUGCCAGCCGCCGCGGUAAUAC